GAUCUGGUGGUGAAAGGCAUCACAUCCACAGUGCUUGGGAUAUGGUUGGAAUAGUGUAUUUGUGGGGGUCCCCAGUUCGAAUCUGGGCCAGGUCA